AGAAGCCCGGAUCAAAAGGUAGUUUAACCAUAGAAAGUGCUUUGCAAUCGGUGUAUGUGUGUGUCAUUCAAUCGCACGCCUUCUACUAUUGGUUCAUACGUCAUGCGCACCGUAGUCCAAUGCCCCGCCUCUCGCACGAUGGUCAGUGG
ensembl:ncRNA F14F3.6 ncRNA